rnacentral:piRNA from 1 species
UGAAAAUUUUAUUUUAUGUUUGGUCCCUUCA